UACGUAGGGACCAAGCGUUGUUCGGAUUUACUGGGCGUAAAGGGCGCGUAGGCGGCGUGACAAGUCACUUGUGAAAAUCUCCGGGCUUAACUCGGAACGGCCAAGUGAAACUGUCAUGCUAGAGUGCAGAAGGGGCAAUCGGAAUUCUUGGUGUAGCGGUGAAAUGCGUAGAUAUCAAGAGGAACACCUGAGGUGAAGACGGGUUGCUGGGCUGACACUGACGCUGAGGCGCGAAAGCCAGGGGAGCAAACAGG
rnacentral:rRNA from 1 species